GGGGAGAUGAUGAUAUAACUUUCCCCAUAUGAUCGACUAUGAUUCCAACCACUGCUUUCUGCUCUUCGGAGCUCAAGCCAGUCGAUUCUGAUCCCC
rfam:Picea glauca, whole genome shotgun sequence.